UCUCAAAAACACUGGCGAUAACAGGUGAUGAAGAAACUGUGGCUCAGACAGGUGAGGUCCCUUCCCAAGGACGCAUAUCCAGGGACUGGCACAGAAGGGAAGCCAACCCAGGACCACCCAGUUCUAGAGUUCAUGGGCUUACCCACUAUUCUAUGAGCCUGACCAAGUGUGAAUGAUGAGUGAAUCAUUGUGUGAAUAACUGACCCAAGUGAUGGAUUUCAUGACUCAUGUAUGGAGUCCAGUGACUCAUUCCUCUUUCCACCAAUGGGCUAACCUGCCUUGUGCUCUGGUUGGAUGUGUGCCCUGGGAGCUAUAGUCCUUACCCAAAGACUUGAACACUGUUGUCUUGUCACAGUGUGCUGGCUUCACUCCCUUCACUACUUCUCCCAGCUCAGCGAAGAUCUCGGCCUGUGAAAUGAACAUACACUGACCCAGGCCAUGGAGCCAAUGUCCACUCCAGCCAGCUCCUGAGGCAGGGCAGGGAGGGCAUCGAGAACCAGCAUCUGCCUUUGUGUUACCAUGAAUGCAGAGAUAUAAGUUUGUGACCAGGGGAAUGUCCAGCCAAGACAAUAGAGCCCAGGAGCAUAAUGAAGAAUCCAAGGAAUCAUGCCUCCUGGCACUGGCAUGUGAGAUAAUGCAGAAGCUGCCAUCAAAUGCCUGCAGGGCCAGGCAGGCUAGGGAAAUAGAAGAGACAUCUUGCCUCAAAAUCAAGACAGCCCUUCCUGGGGAUUCACAGUGUGAGAGAGAUUCUCUAUUGUUGGCUUUGAAGAUGGAGCAUCCACAUUACAAGGAAGGGCUCACAUGUUUCUGAGGACCUUAAAAGGCCUGCUCAUUCUGCAUGAGUAAAACAUCACUGCAGAUGCAGCUGUUCGGUCCAGCCUAGGGACAACUCUGGCCACUGCCUACCCGUGGUUUAUGGAGUUACUCUGCUUACCAUUGAUAUGAGCCCCCGGCUUCACCCAUUCACCAAACAAAAUGGGCUCUGUUGCCAUGGUGACUGUGAUGAUCACAUCUGCACCCGUCACAGCCUCCUGGACUGAUGAACAGACCUGUACUUCUCCUUGAACUGUGUCUGCAAACUUCUCUGCAUUUUCUUUGGUGCGGUUCCAUAUCCUCACCUUCAUUGAAGGGUAACAAGAAGGACAUUGGUGCCAUGAUUGUUUGACUGUUUAUGUUUCAUCAAGCCCAGGGGUACCAGGGGAAAGCUGAACCACUCUGGGGUAAGGGCUGUGGUUGUUUAAAUCACCCCCUAUGGAGAAAGAGCAUUUGAUCAAGGGUACAGCAUUAAUCAGGGAAGACACCUGACCAAAUA